rnacentral:rRNA from 1 species
GUACACUCCUACGGGAGGCAGCAGUGGGGAAUUUUGGACAAUGGGCGAAAGCCUGAUCCAGCAAUGCCGCGUGAGUGAAGAAGGCCUUCGGGUUGUAAAGCUCUUUUGUCAGGGAAGAAACGGUGAAAGCUAAUAUCUUUUGCUAAUGACGGUACCUGAAGAAUAAGCACCGGCUAACUACGUGCCAGCAGCCGCGGUAAUACGUAGGGUGCAAGCGUUAAUCGGAAUUACUGGGCGUAAAGCGUGCGCAGGCGGUUUUGUAAGUCUGAUGUGAAAUCCCCGGGCUCAACCUGGGAAUUGCAUUGGAGACUGCAAGGCUAGAAUCUGGCAGAGGGGGGUAGAAUUCCACGUGUAGCAGUGAAAUGCGUAGAUAUGUGGAGGAACACCGAUGGCGAAGGCAGCCCCCUGGGUCAAGAUUGACGCUCAUGCACGAAAGCGUGGGGAGCAAACAGGAUUAGAAACCCUGGUAGUCCCA